UGAUACACCAUAAAUUAAAAAUGUUAUUGUGAUUAUUAUACAUGAUGAAUUAAUGAUACAUACCAAGAUUUUGAAACAUUUCACCAAAUCCAUUGUCCUUGUUUUUACCAUAGUAAACAAAAAUGUAAACAUUGUAUACGUCAUCUAUGAAUUAACACAAACAAAAUACACAAAUCUGCUCAUCACAAUUCACUAGCAGCAUUAAUGUAAACACCACUGUAUUGAACAUGCACAUCCAUUACCACACAAGUCAGCCAAUUAAGUCAACAUAGUUUUAGCUGCUCACACAUAUACAACGGAAAAUGUGCUCUAACUAUGUGUGUACAUUCAAUCGAACACGCUGCUCAACUUGAAUUAAUUUUGUUUGUUACCAUCAACAUCAACUUUGACAUUACCAUCAUCAUUGAUUUCUCAACAUCAUCACCAGCAAUAUGUGUUCAUUCUGUGCCUCUAUCAAUGUCAACACUGAUUAAUGAUAAGACACAAAAGAUUUUUUUUUUGUCUUGGCUGCAUAUAUAAACAAAACUUUUUGUGUUGACAACUUGCUAGUCGAAAUUUUCUUUGAGCAGAAGUCUGAAAAUUUUCGUGUUUGUUUAUGCUAAAAGUUUGUUUACAUGGUAUUGAAACAAUCUCAUCUUCAAUCACCAUAUCAUCAUCCAUUCAUCCCACCAUUUCCCUUCCCUAUCAUCAUUGGCUACACGAUCCUCCUGUUGGAUCGCUCUCAUCAUCUGGCUAUCCAUAUCAUUGGUCUGGCCCCAUCAUCAUUGUUUUGGCCUCUUGGUCCAAUCAUUCCUGGCUUCGAUCAUCAGCGUCGUCAUCCACCAUCAUUAUCCGCUGCUGAUCCAUCUACCACCAUUUGCCGCAUUCGCACUUGGUCACCAUCAUUGAAACAACGAGCAAGGAAUUAAUUGAUUUUCAAAAAACCAGAUGGCAGCACAUUCGCCUAUGAGAGACAAAAAAAAUAUAAUUUUACCAAAUUUCACCACCACCAAUCAUCCUACUGGCUCACCGAACACAUGCAAUACACAUAAUCCAACAUAUACACACAAAAACAUCGGACACAUUCUUAAUGAUCAUUUUUUAUUUUUAUUGUUUUUGUAGGCGAAAAACAUGAUAUAUCCGAUCUCAUCACCAAUAAUACAAUGAACAAAAAUUUUUGAUUCCUUUCCAAAAAACCAGAUGGCAGCACAGUCGCCUACGAGAAACAAAAAAAAUAUAAUUUUACCAAAUUUGACCACCAACAAUUAUCUUACCGGCUCACCGAUCUCAUGUAAAACACAUAAUCCAUCACAUACACACACAAACAUCGGACACACCCUAUAUGAUCAUUUUAUUUUUUUUUUUUUUUUUUUUUUUUUUCAAAUUCUGAUUGUUCUAUUUUCAUUUUUCUUUGUAUUUUAUUUUUUAUUAUUAUGAUAUUAUUCAUGCUGGCCAUGUCCGGCGA